UACGUAGGUGGCAAGCGUUGUCCGGAAUCAUUGGGCGUAAAGAGCGUGUAGGCGGCUAUUUAAGUCCUGCGUGAAAUCCUGCGGCUCAACCGCAGACGGUCGUGGGAAACUGGAUGGCUAGAGUGCGGGAGAGGAGAGUGGAAUUCCCGGUGUAGCGGUGAAAUGCGCAGAUAUCGGGAAGAACACCCGUGGCGAAGGCGGCUCUCUGGAACGCAACUGACGCUGAGACGCGAAAGCGUGGGGAGCAAACAGG
rnacentral:rRNA from 1 species